AUUCUGCUGGUUUUUUAAUCACAAUGGUUUUUGGAAAUGAAUGCUCAUUUGAUCAUGGAUUUGAAUAAUUAAAAUCUGACCCUCAAUGCUUAAAAUGUCAACAGGAGGAUUAUAAAUAUUAUCCUUGAUGUACCAGAUAAAAUUAUAUUCUACCUCAUGCUAAUUUAUAAGGAAAUCAUUGGUUAACAGUAGUCAUGGAGACCAUGUAUAAUCCAUACACCAUUAGUACAAGAGAUACCUCCCCUUGAGCAUUAUGACACUAUUUUAAGAGUAUUAGGACAUCAAAUUUUGCACCCAACUUGAAACUUGUAACACUGUUAUGAAAUGUUUUCUUUUCAUUAUUUUGUAAUUUACACAAAGGCAGUCUGUAAGUUAUAUUUGUCACAUGGUAAGUAGUUGACCUAAUAUGGUUUAUAAGUGGUCAGUAAAUUCCAUAUGGGGUGAGAGCGGAGCGCCACUCUCUCUCAUAUAGUAUUUACAGACCACAUAUAAACUAUUUGAGGCAAACUACACACCAUGUAACUAAUAUAAGAAUCAUUUUGAAUUGUUGACCCUAAGCAUCGAGAUUAUAAUCAGAUUGAUUAUAAUUUAUUUAUACACUGUUACCUAUCAAGUCAAACAAUAAUUUUGGUUUUGUGUUGCCUUUGUUUUGAUGUUAACAUGUUAAUGAAUAAAUUGAAACAAUUUU
rnacentral:misc_RNA from 1 species